rnacentral:rRNA from 1 species
AUUGAACGCUGGCGGCAUGCCUUACACAUGCAAGUCGAACGGCAGCGGACCUUCGGGUGCCGGCGAGUGGCGAACGGGUGAGUAAUGCAUCGGAACGUACCUUUCAGUGGGGGAUAACGUAGCGAAAGUUACGCUAAUACCGCAUAUUCUGUGAGCAGGAAAGCAGGGGAUCGCAAGACCUUGCGCUGAUUGAGCGGCCGCUGUCAGAUUAGCUAGUUGGUGAGGUAAAGGCUCACCAAGGCGACGAUCUGUAGCGGGUCUGAGAGGAUGAUCCGCCACACUGGGACUAAGACACGGCCCAGACUCCUACGGGAGGCAGCAGUGGGGAAUUUUGGACAAUGGGGGCAACCCUGAUCCAGCCAUGCCGCGUGAGUGAAGAAGGCCUUCGGGUUGUAAAGCUCUUUCGGCCGGGAAGAAAUCGCACAGGCUAAUACCUUGUGUGGAUGACGGUACCGGAAUAAGAAGCACCGGCUAACUACGUGCCAGCCGCCGCCGUAAUAC